UCCAUUUUCCCUAACGUAUCAUGAUUCCUUUCGAUUCUCUCUUGCAUAGUCGGUUCAGGGUUCAUCUAGAUACUCUUUCCAUGAACUUCUGCUCAAACCCAACGAAUGAGCAACCCUCUCAUGUCCCUCUCUUUGGUUGAUUUUCAUCGUUAGAUUAAAGCACCUAUCUAUAAUCUAUCAUCCCAGUCGAAACAACAUCCGCUCCCUUACCUGAACAAGACCAAAUCUUUCGAUAUGGCGUCCCAAGUGACAUGCAAGCUACAUCGAGGUAGGUUUCUUGGCAAAGCAGGACAUCUUCAAGAGCUUAUAGGCCCUUGACGAAGGUAAAUCAUGUGUAUUACCGUUCCAGACUUCCAGUGUCUAGGAAAUGGAAGAGUUGGACUUUAUAUCUUUUUUCUUUAUAUCUACCAAUGAUGUAACCGGUAUAAAUGCAGUUAUUGUUGACGAACAGGUAGUUAUCGUUUCCACUUUGGGAUCCAACUCGAUAUGCGAUUCUCCUAUUUUACUUUACGUUUUGGAAAUUUUGUUGUCCUAACACAUUCUUUGAUACGGAGAGAUGAUUUACAAGCCAUUAUUCAAAAGGAAUCUUAUCUGGAAAUUUGAUAAAAGGUCCACAAAGAACUUACAGUGGUCCACUGCCAAACCCAAAUUCUAGCCAUCUAACAGCAUAAAAGAUAAUAUCCUUUUGGUGGAAUACAAAAUCAUCCCGUUGUUAUUUUCUGCUAAUCAUGACAUUCCUGUCACUGCUUUCACUCUAUUUUUAUUUUUACAUCACUUUAUUUUCCUAAGUUUCCAUAAAAAUUGUGUUCUGAAUGGUUCAAUUAUGCCAAAACCAUCUGAACUAAUUUAAGGAAUACAUUUUGAUUUAUCUGUAGGCUUUGCCAUAACUUUGUCAACAAGAUAGCUACUGGAUCAUAUGCAGUUCCAAUUUAAAGUUUUUGAUUUCUAAAUAUUUUGAUAUUCGUAAUGUAAUUUGAUUGAACAUGAAAGUAGUACUCAAACAGUACUGAACUUAGUUAUUUGGGAACUUAGUUAUGUAGAACUUUGAGUCUUCGAUCUAUUUAACUCCAUGAAUUUGCACAAAGUACAUAUACGGUAACUUGAUAUCUCUGUUAGUGGAUUCAAGGUUUACUAAUGGAACUUUAAGACUUGAAAAGGACUUAAUAAACUUAUAACCAAUAGAGAUGCACUAGGAAGCUAUUCAGGCAGAUGGGGGUUAUCUCAAUCAAUUUUGUUGACUAGAUACGAGGACGUAUUUUGUAUGACGUUAAAAUUACCAUCAUCAAAAUAUCUUGCAAGUCAAAAUAUUUUAUGACUGCAAGAGUUCACUAUUCUGUUAAAAUUACCAUCAUCCCCCAAAUAAUCUGAAUGUACAAUAAAUUUUAAUAAAACUUUGAACUUUUGGUGCUAUUUGUUGAGCAAUCUUCUUCAUUUAGGUAUUCGUUGGUUCCAGGGAUGCUGUCAAACUCGCUUUUGGGCGGUGCUAAUACUGAAAGAUCAAAGGGAAUUUCUGCGUCUCCGUCAAUGCUUCCAAAGUGUACUCCAAUAUUGACAUCCCAGUUGUUGUAGAAUUGCGAGAAUGAAUUUCAUGGGGAACAAGAACGAGUUACUUUUCAUGGGGAACUGGAAAUCUUAUUGAUGAUUGAAGUUUCGGUAGAUCUCAAGUUGUCAACACUAUAACUUCCAAUUUAAGCUCCAUCUGUGUUAAGAUUAAGUUCUUAAGAUUCAAAGUGUGAGUCUUAUGUGCCUUUACUAUGAAUCCUUUUGGAGGUUUCCUAUCUUUGGUUAUGACUGAUUCAAUUUUCGUAUAAUUUUGAAUCGUUGUAUAUUGUCCUUUUCACUUUUACAUUACUCUAUUUUGUGUAGCUUCUCCUUCCUCAAUUUAUCUACUUUGGACCUUA